GGCAAUUGUGAAUGAAAAAGAAAAAGAAAAAAGCGUCAUGGAGAAAUUAGAAAGCUGAAUGUGUUAGCUGAUUUUGGAGACAUCACUGACCAAUGCUUCGAACACAGGUCUGGAGGCUGUGCUGAGGCAAAGUAUCAACACUGUUGAACACUCCGUGAUGUACCUGAGCUGGAAACUAUUGGACCAAAAGACGAGAAAGUAGAAAGUAAGACUGAUGUACCAUCAUCUAUGAUGUCACUUCCAGGUACCGCCCAACUAUACCCUUCUUCCUUGUAACCAUUUUAUCUGAAGCCACCACCAUCUUGAAGCAGACUCAAUCUCCACACAGUUCUAGUCUCUGUUUUUUAAG